UACAGAGGUCUCAAGCGUUGUUCGGAUUCAUUGGGCGUAAAGGGUGCGUAGGCGGCGCCGUAAGUCAGGUGUGAAAUUUCGGAGCUUAACUCCGAAACUGCAUUUGAUACUGCGGUGCUUGAGGACUGGAGAGGAGACUGGAAUUCCUGGUGUAGCGGUGAAAUGCGCAGAUAUCAGGAGGAACACCGGUGGCGAAGGCGGGUCUCUGGGCCGUAACUGACGCUGAGGAGCGAAAGCGUGGGGGAGCAAACAGG
rnacentral:rRNA from 1 species